UACAGAGGGUGCAAGCGUUGUUCGGAAUUAUUGGGCGUAAAGCGCGUGUAGGCGGCUUUGCAAGUCUUGUGUGAAAUCCCUCGGCUUAACCGAGGAAGCGCGCAAGAAACUGCAGAGCUUGAGUACCGGAGAGGAUGGUGGAAUUCCCCAAGUAGAGGUGAAAUUCGUAGAUAUGGGGAGGAACACCGGUGGCGAAGGCGACCAUCUGGACGGAUACUGACGCUGAGACGCGAAAGCGUGGGGAGCAAACAGG
rnacentral:rRNA from 1 species